GUAGGAAUCUACCUAGUAGUACGGAAUAGCCAUUAGAAAUGGUGGGAAAUACUGUAUAAUCCCCGAGGGGGAAAGAUUUAUCGCUAUUAGAUGAGCCUACGUUAGAUUAGCUAGUUGGUGAGGUAAUGGCUUACCAAGGCUAUGAUCUAUAGCUGGUCUGAGAGGACGAUCAGCCACACUGGAACUGAGAUACGGUCCAGACUCCUACGGGAGGCAGCAGUGGGGAAUAUUGGACAAUGGGCGAAAGCCUGAUCCAGCUAUGCCGCGUGAGUGAAGAAGGCCUUCGGGU
rnacentral:rRNA from 1 species